CAGGCGGUGGGGUCUAUGCCAGGUUCCUGCUGCCUGCAGGUGGUACCAGAGGACCGUUACUGGGUGCCUGGUCUUGGAGCGUACCAGCUAGUUGUCUUAGUGCCAUCAGUGUGAAGGCUGUGUUCAACCUCACUGCAGUGUCUGUGGAUGAACACUACACCAUUUGCUCCAUUUUCUGAGAAUUUCUCAGUGGAUGCUUUAAAAACCAAGGAUGAAUUCAGCAUCUCUAUUUUAUGUGGAAGCUGUUCUCAGCAUCAUUUGUUUUCUUACUUGGGUGGAAAAGAUAGCUGGGUAGGUGUUUUCCUCCCAGGGCCUUCUGAAGAGUUUAAAAACAGAGACUUUGGGUGUUGAAUGAAAGGUCCCUAUUCUUUCCUAAAAUACUCACAGAAUCCCAUGACUAAUAUAUAAAUAAAGAUUGUUGUAUUAGUCACCCAACAAUGAAAGAAGAAAUCCUCCCACUUCUCAAAUGCUUCCUUUCAGAGUAACCUCAAUGACCUGACUGAUUCAUGGAACUAAUUUGUAACAAUAAUAAAGAUGAAGCGGGACCCCAGACAAGCUUUCAGAACUCCUCCAAAGACCCUCACUGCCUCAUCCCGCUCUCCCGUUCCUCGGCCUGCAGCUGAUGCCUUUGAGGAAGCCCCUGUUUGUACUGACAGUGGCCCAGAAACCUCUUCCCCUUGCUCAGACAAUUGCCCAUGUGGCCGCUGCCAACUUGGGGCUUCCUGGACUUCACAAACUCAGGAGGUCUGAGCUCAGUGACACCCUGCAUCGCCCCUGCUCCCUGGGCUCCUGCCCUGAACCACAGCUCCCUGCUUGAUGAAGAAGGGUCAGCCACCUCAAGGUUCACUUCCGGGCAGAGGCCACAUCUGUUAGGAAAGAAAAUAGAUGAAAAGCAUAGUUAGCAAGUGCCUGCUGUUGGCCAGGCACCGAGCUAGGAGGUGUCUUAUUCCUGUGUCAUCUUAUUUCAUCAUGUAAAUGGCCCUGUGAGGCAGAGAUGGUUGUUUGAAUUAUACAGAAGGAGAAACACAGAGUCAGAAAGAUGAAGAAACUUGCUGAAGAUUGUAUUGUGUUCCAGUGGUCUCCAAACUGGGGUAGGUCCACUCUAGUGAAGGUCCCUGGUUAAUUCCUGCUGAUUAAGCACUAACCACAUGAGACUCAUCCAGCUGGCCAGUUUCCAGAUGAAACUGUGGUGGGUAAAUUCUUUGGAAAAGAAAAUGGAGUCCAUUUCCACAUGACCACAGCAGUCACCCUGUUGAAGUGUACUGUGUGGGUCCAGAUGGGAGUGGAUGUUCAGCUCUCACUGGGCUCCACUGAUAUCAGCCCAGCCAGAGUGGAGUGCCAGCUGACCCCGCCUUGCUUUGCCUCACUCUGCCUUGUAGCUAAUGGGUGGGGGUGGAAGUCUUGCUUGGACUGUCGAUACCAGGAGUGGGGAGGGGGAAAAGGGACUGUGUUGUUGUGUAAUAAAGGAUUUGACUUUGUCCCUGGCUCCUGAGAAGGAGACUCUAAGUCUUUGGAAAUUCCCAAGUAAGAGGAGUGUCUUUGUUUUUCAUGAGCCCCUUGGAUCGCACCUUAGUUUAUGUUGAGAUGAGAGGGGUGGGAUUUGGAGCCAGCCUGACCUUGGGGAGAGUAGGGGGGAUGGAGAUUGAGUUGAGUCAUGUGACCAAUGAUUUACUCAACCAUGCCUAUGUCAUGAAACCUCAAUAAAAACUCUGGACACUGAAGCUCAGUGGAGUUACCUGCCUGGUAAACACAUUGAUUUGACCCACUCUGAUUUCAUGGGUUGAAGGCAUGGGAACUCUGCACUUAGGACCCCCCAGGAUUCACCUAUGUGUCUCUCCACUUGGCUGGUCCUGAUUUUUAUCCUGCGUAAUAAAAC
rnacentral:lncRNA from 10 species